rnacentral:rRNA from 2 species
UAAGCGGAGGAAAAGAAACUAACAAGGAUUCCCCUAGUAACGGCGAGUGAAGCGGGAAGAGCUCAAAUUUGAAAUCUGGUAGCCUUCGGUUGCCCGAGUUGUAAUCUAGAGAAGUGUUUUCCGUGCCGGCCCAUGUACAAGUCCCUUGGAACAGGGCGUCAUAGAGGGUGAGAAUCCCGUCCUUGACAUGGACCCCCGGUGCUUUGUGAUACACUUUCAACGAGUCGAGUUGUUUGGGAAUGCAGCUCAAAAUGGGUGGUGAAUUCCAUCUAAAGCUAAAUAUUGGCGAGAGACCGAUAGCGAACAAGUACCGUGAGGGAAAGAUGAAAAGCACUUUGGAAAGAGAGUUAAACAGUACGUGAAAUUGUUGAAAGGGAAACGAUUGAAGUCAGUCAUGCUCUUGGGACUUACCUCCCUUGAGUGGGGUCAACAUCAGUUUUGAUCGAUGGAUAAAGGCACGGGGAAGGUAGCACUCUCGGGUGAACUUAUAGCCUCGCGUCAUAUACAUUGAUUGGGACUGAGGAACGCAGCAUGCCUUAUGGCCGGGAUUCGUCCACGUACAUGCUAGG